CACCGCUCUGCUCCGGGAGCAGGUCUCCUGGGCCGGCGCGUCCCGCGGGCCAAGCCCUCGGUCGGAGUCGGAGGCGGGGUUCGAUUCCACCGCUCAGCCGCCGGCUGGACGCACCGCGAGUUCCCGCUCUCCGCGCCUGCGCGGUAAACAUGCAGAGGAGUUCGGCACCCGCCGGCAGGCCGAGCGCCGACGUCCCGCCCUCCCGGAGGGGCUGGGCGCCCGAUCCCUCCUUCCCCUAGCUCCAGGCACCCGGCAGAAGUGCUCGGGAGCUGUUCCUCGAUGCGGCUGCACGGCGUCCCGAUGUAUCAUGGAAGCAGCUUAAGACGGGAGUGGGAAGGGCAAAAACAUGCUCCAGACACAUCAACCAAGAUAAACUCUUGAAAUUUUGCUAUAGGAUUGAUCUGGGAUGGGCAUUUUGACAGUUCCUGCCAAUGAGAGGGAAGUAUAGUCAGCCAGGGGCUUCUGGGAAAGAUGGUAUGGAAGAUCUCUUUUGCCCUUUCUUUCCUGCCUGUAACACUGCUAUAUGAGGUAUAAUGUUGGAGCUGCCUCAGCCAUCUGGUGAUUUGAAGGGAGACUGAGGAUGACUGAGCAGAAAGAAAGAAAGAGACACUGCACCGUGCCGGGAUUGUCUUCAUGCAGACUGUUGAAAAAUAGAUCUCAGAAAAUGUUUUUGGUCUUCAGAGAUGAUUAAGAUGAAGUCAUCGGGUGGGCCCUAAUCCAAUAGGACUGUGUGUUUAUAAAAUGGGGAGAUUUGGACACAGAAACACACACACACACACACUGGGAGAACGCCAUGUGAAGAUGAAGGCAGAGAUUGGACUGAUGCUUCUACAAACCAAGGAACGCCAAAAACUGCCAGCAAACCACCAGGAGCUAGGAGAGAGGCGUGGAACAAAGGCUCCCUCACAGCUGUCAAGAGAACCAGGCUGCCAACACCCUGAUCUUGGACUUCUAACCCCAGAGCUGUGAUACAACAAAUAGCUGUUGUUUAAGCCACACAGUUUGUGGUAGUCGCAGUCCUACAGACUAAAAUACCAGGUAGUCAAGAAGUAGAAACGCAGCAGAUAGAAUAAAUAACUCAGCAGUCUUAAAUUUUUGACUUGGGAGAACCAUUAUGUUUGUUUAUUAAUAACAUUAAUUUCAGUCUUUUUUCAAAAAAUUUUUUUAUUGUGGUCUAAAUAGUUUAUAACAUUGUGAAAUUUCAGCAAUACAUUAAUAUUUGUCAAACACCAUAUAAGUGUGCCCCUGCACUCCUUGUGCCCACCUUCCCCCUCCUUUCCUCUGGUAACCACUAAAUUGUUCUCUUUGUCUGAAGGUUGUUUAUAUCCCACAUGUGAGUGAAAUCAUACGGUGUUUGUCUUUCUCUAUCUGGCUUAUUUUGCUUGACAUGAUGCCCUCAAGGUCCAUCCAUGUGGCUGUGAAUGGGACAAUUAUGUCUUUUCUUAUGGCUGAGUAGUAUUCCAUUGUAUAUAUAUACACACACCACAUCUUCUUUACCCGCUGGGCACUUGGGUUGCUGCCACAUCUUGGCUAUUGUGAAUAAUGCUGCAAUGAACAUAGGGGUACAUAAGUCUCUUUGUAUUAGUGAUUUCAAGUUCUUUGGAUAAAUACCCAGUAGUGGGAUAGCUGGGUCAUAUGGUAAUUCUGUUUUUAAUUUUUUGAGAAAUCUCCAUACUGUUUUCCAAAGUGGCUGCACCAGUUUGCAUUCUCACCAGCAGUGGAUGAGGGUUCUCUUUUCUUCACAACCUCUCCAACAUUUAUUAUUUUUUGUCUUGAUGAUUAUAGCCAUUCUAAAUGGGUGUACGGUGAUAUCUAAGUGUAGUUUUGAUUUGCAUCCCCUGAUGAUUAGUGAUCUUUUCAUGUGCCUAUAGCCAUUUGUAUAUCUUCUUUGGAAAAAUGUCUGUUCAUAUCCUCUGCCCACUUUUUGAUUGGGUUGUUUAUUCUUUUGUAGUUCAAUUGUGUUAGUUGUUUAUGUAUAGUGGAGAUUAACCCUUUAUUGGAUUUAUGAUUAGCAAAUAUUUUCUCCCAGUUGUUGGGUUGUUUUUUCAUUUUGAUCUUGGUUUCUUUUGCCUUGCAGAAGCUCUUUAGUAUGAUAAAGUCCCACUUGUUUAUUUUUUCUUUUGUUUCCCCUGUCUGAGUGGACAUCAACAUUAACUUCAUUCUUAACAUGAAUUUUUUGCCUUAAUAAGUUCCUGCAAUUAAAGCAACACAAAGGGGCCAGCCCGGUGGCACAGUGGUUAAGUUCGCACAUUCCACUUCUUGGCAGCCCGGGGUUCACUGGUCUGGAUCCUGGGUGCGGACAUGGCACUGCUUGGCAAAAGCCAUGCUGUGGUAGGCAUCUCAUGUAUAAAGUAGAGGAAGAUGGGCACGGAUGUUAGCUCAGGGCCAGUCUUCCUCGGCAAAAAAGAGGAGGAUUGGCAGUAGUUAGCUCAGGGCUAAUCUUCCUGAAAAAAAAAUAAAAGCAAAACAAAGCUACACCGAAUAGUAAUCUGAUACCAGAAAUUCGAGAAACUAUUCAACAUGAAUAGUAAGGAGAGAGGAUUGAACUCCACAAAUAAACUCUGCUCCAAAAGUAACAUCCUAGUGACCAGAGAUUUAAUUUAAAGAAGCUUAGCAAAAAUAUUUAAAUAAUUUAAGAACAUACUAAUUCCCUAAAUAAAUUAUA
ensembl:lncRNA